rnacentral:rRNA from 1 species
UACGUAGGGACCGAGCGUUGUCCGGAAUCAUUGGGCGUAAAGAGCGCGCAGGCGGCUGGUCAAGUCCGAUGUGAAAUCUCCCGGCUCAACUGGGAAACUGCAUCGGAAACUGAUCGGCUUGAAGAUGGGAGAGGGUAGUGGAAUUCCCGGUGUAGUGGUGAAAUGCGUAGAUAUCGGGAGGAACACCAGUGGCGAAGGCGACUACCUGGCCCAUUCUUGACGCUGAGGCGCGAAAGCUAGGGGAGCGAACGGG